rnacentral:rRNA from 1 species
GACGAACGCUGGCGGCGUGCCUAAUACAUGCAAGUAGAACGCUGAAGGAGGAGCUUGCUUCUCUGGAUGAGUUGCGAACGGGUGAGUAACGCGUAGGUAACCUGCCUGGUAGCGGGGGAUAACUAUUGGAAACGAUAGCUAAUACCGCAUAAUAGUAGAUGUUGCAUGACAUUUGCUUAAAAGGUGCAAUUGCAUCACUACCAGAUGGACCUGCGUUGUAUUAGCUAGUUGGUGGGGUAACGGCUCACCAAGGCGACGAUACAUAGCCGACCUGAGAGGGUGAUCGGCCACACUGGGACUGGGACACGGCCCAGACUCCUACGGGAGGCAGCAGUAGGGAAUCUUCGGCAAUGGACGGAAGUCUGACCGAGCAACGCCGCGUGAGGGAAGAAGGUUUUCGGAUCGUAAAGCUCUGUUGUAAGAGAAGAACGAGUGUGAGAGUGGAAAGUUCACACUGUGACGGUAUCUUACCAGAAAGGGACGGCUAACUACGUG